rnacentral:misc_RNA from 1 species
AAGAGUUAGGGUCUUCCAGGCCCGACCUCCCAACCCUAUGUUUAUUGAACCUCUGUUGCUUCGGCGGACCCGUCUCCCGACCGCCGGAGGAUUGCCGCGAGGCGUCCUCUGGCCAGCGUCCGCCGAUGGCCAACCACUUAAAACUCUGAAUAAAUCGUGUCGUUAUGUCUAAGUCUAUGAUUAAAUUAAAGCA